rnacentral:rRNA from 1 species
ACAAGUACCGUGAGGGAAAGUUGCAAAGCACUUUGAAGAGAGAGUUAAAGAGGACGUGAAACCGGUAGGAUGGAAACGGAUAGAGCCAGCGAAGUUGCUCGUAUUCAGCCAAAGGCCUGGGGUAUCGGUGUGCCGGGUUGCUAAUCACGCCUGGUGUGCCUUUUGCCCCUGGUUGAGGUGCAUUUGCGGGCAUUUGCGCUGAGACUUGCGGACCAGCUUCUGGACCCGGGCCUAGAGGCCGUCCUUUGGGCGGAACUUGGGCACGGCGACGGUUGUUUGGUCUGCUCGUACCACGGCUUGGCCUACGGACAGGGGCGCUGUCGUUGCUUCCGGGCGUUGGCAUCGCAUGCGAUGACUCGGUCGGGGGUUGCGGCGGUGUUUCUCGUUCCCAAGUCGGCUCUCGGUGUAAAAGCUGGUCACCUAUCCGACCCGUCUUGAAACACGGACCAAGGAGUUUAGCGUAUACGCGAGCCAUUGGGUGUGAAAACCUACAGGCACAAUGAAAGUAAAGGCCCAUUCGGUGGGCUGACAUGCGAGUUGGUGGGCCUCGGCCUGCCGAUGCAGCAUGGUCCCGUUCCUAUCGCUUGCGAUGGAGCGGAGACAGAGCGUAUGCGCUGAGACCCGAAAGAUGGUGAACUAUUCCUGAGCAGGAUGAAGCCAGAGGAAACUCUGGUGGAAGUCCGAAGCGGUUCUGACGUGCAAAUCGAUCGUCUGACUUGGGUAUAGGGGCGAAAGACUAAUCGAACCAUCUAGUAGCUGGUUCCUUCCGA